AUUGAACGCUAGCGGGAUGCCUUACACAUGCAAGUCGAACGGCGUGGCGAACGGGUGCGUAAUGUAUCGGACCGUGCCCCGUCCCGGGGGAUAACUACGCGAAAGCGUAGCUAAUACCGCAUACUCUUGGAGCUGUCGCUGUCGGAUUGGCUAGUUGGGGGGGUAACGGCUCACCAAGUCGACGAUCCGUAGCUGGUUUGCGAGGACGACCGGCCACACUGGGACUGAGACACGGCCCAGACUCCUACGGGAGGCAGCAGUGGGGAAUUUUGGACAAUGGGGGAAAGCCUGAUCCAGCCAUCCCGCGUGUGCGAUGAAGGCCUUCGGGUUGUAAAGCACUUUUGGCAGGGAAGCGGUACCUGCAGAAUAAGCACCGGCUAACUACGUGCCAGCAGCCGCGGUAAUAC
rnacentral:rRNA from 1 species